GCCAGGUUAGCUCAGUUGGUUAGAACAUGGUGCUAAUAACACCAAGUUCACAGGUUCAAUCCCUGCUCACUGCA
rfam:Pelecanus crispus contig17021, whole genome shotgun sequence.